rnacentral:rRNA from 1 species
AUUCCAGCUCCAAUAGCGUAUAUUAAAGUUGUUGCAGUUAAAAAGCUCGUAGUUGAACUUCUGGCGGAUGUUUUCGCUGGCUUCGGUCGCGUUAAUGUCUGUCAUCCGCUAGGGAACCUCGUUCGGUCUUCAUUGGUCGGCGGGAGGAUCUGGCAUUUUACUUUGAAAAAAUUAGAGUGUUCAAGGCAGGCAAUCGCCAUGAAUACACAAGCAUGGAAUAAUGGAAUAGGACUUAUGGUCAUUUUAUUGGUUAUUGACUGUAAGUAAUGAUUAAUAGGGACAGUUGGGGGCAUUAGUAUUUAAUUGUCAGAGGUGAAAUUCUUGGAUUUAUUAAAGACUAACUUAUGCGAAAGCAUUUGCCAAGGAUGUUUUCAUUG